UCCGGUUUGUCACCGGCAGUCUCAUUAGAGUGCCCAACUGAAUGUAGCAACUAAUGACAAGGGUUGCGCUCGUUGCGGGACUUAACCCAACAUCUCACGGCACGAGCUGACGACAGCCAUGCAGCACCUGUGCUGGCUGCCCUUGCGGGCUCAUCCCCGUUUCCGGUUCUUAAUACCAGCAUGUCAAGCCCUGGUAAGGUUCUUCGCGUUGCGUCGAAUUAAACCACAUGCUCCGCCGCUUGUGCGGGCCCCCGUCAAUUCCUUUGAGUUUUAGCCUUGCGGCCGUACUCCCCAGGCGGGGCGCUUAAUGCGUUAGCUACGGCACGGAUUCCGUGGAAGGAACCCACACCUAGCGCCCACCGUUUACGGCGUGGACUAC
rnacentral:misc_RNA from 1 species